GUUCCUUUAGCUCAUUUGGUAGAGCAUCCCGCUCAUAACGGGACGGUGCAGGGUUCGAAUCCCUGAAGGAACA
rnacentral:tRNA from 1 species